CCCGCCUCUUGAGACGUGUGUGGGGAGGGCAUGCUUUCUCCCAGGUUCCGCCCGAGACCCAGGGGGCAGCCUGGACCGGGCCAAGAAGGGAAGGGCGUGGCAGGCAAGAGCCAGGGGGGCGGGAGCGCAGGCGGCCCGGGACUCACGUACUGGCUGUGGCGGCGCCGCGGGAGCCCGGCCGCCAGCGGACAAAAGCUCAGACGGCCCGACCGGAAAGACCUGCGCCAACCCCAGGGCACUUCCUAUGACUCUCUGGGAAGCUGGAGGACUGACUCGAUGGUAUCUUUGAGAUGCUCUGUUUUUAGCACCUGCAUAUCAAACCUCGCUGCUCGUUCUCUUCCUGGAGAUAAUAUAAGUUAUAACUUGGAGACCACAGAGCACCAAGCAGAUGGUUGUUGUGUUGCCACACAAACAGUAACCCCUGGCACAGUCCAAGACAGGACACCACGCAGGAUACUUGACCUCUCAGACAGAAGAUGGGUUUUUGGAGGCAGGGAAGUGGCAUAGGCAUCACAAGUAAGCACACUGGGGACCUGUGUUAGAACCAGCAGUAUGGCAAGGAGGGGACCUGCUGAAUGGUCUGUUCCUGCACCUCAACAGAGCCAUGGAGCUGCCAAGGCUGAUGCUGUCUCAGGACCUCCCUCCUCCACCUCAAGAAGUUCAAAUCCAGCCAUACAGACACCCUUCUUCCACAGGAGGACAAAGGCUACCAUCUGGGAAUUAAAGUAUUAAACUUCAGAUAUAAUAAAAGGAUCAGCUUUGGAAAAAAUAGGAAGUCUCUAUUAAUGUGAUUUAGUUUAUAAAAAUCAUAAACUCCAAAGAAACCAAGAGUGCAAAGCUGGAUCUGGAUUUCAGUUUGUGAACUAUGACUGAUAUUAUUAUUUUCCUUCCCAAUAGCCAUUUUCAUCUUUCUUCUUCUGGGCUAAGAGAACCCCCAAAUUAUAAGGGGUAGCCCCAUGCCCAGAUUAAUCACAAUUGGUAUAAGAUCUUCGUGCAUGACUCUUGUUCUCCUUUUUCAGAUUUAGAGCUUCCCCUGGUGGGACCAGUUUGGGCCAUUGAGUUGUGUGGGGAACUCUGCUGUGGGGUUUUGGAAACAUUUUGUUUUAAAACAAACAAGAAAAAACAGCCCAGAAGAGAGCUGGCUGGUACUUUUCUUCCUGCUUAAAAAUCCAUGUGAUGCUUAGAACUCCUCUAGUUUUAUAACCAUGACACAAAACACAGGAGGAUCCAAAGGCAUCCUUUGGAUGUGGUGUAAUGGUUAGGCUUAUAUAGCAAUCUGACUGUGACACAGGGUGCCUAGAUAUUUGGUCAAAUGUUAUUCUGAGUGGGAGAUAUUUUGAUGAGAUUAACAUUUAAAUUGGUGUACUGAAUUAAGCAUCUUGACUUCAGACUGCUGUCUCUCUCUCUCUACCCUAUUAGUUUGGUUUCUCUGGAGGAUUCUGACUUGUACAUGCAGGUAAGCCUGAAUUUCCACUGAUGCUUCUGUUUUGCUGUACCAACCUUGAUGUGCCAAUUUCCAUACUCUUGACACAGGACAAAAUGGAGUGAUUUUAUUGUUCAGGCUGUUAGCCAGUCUUUCUGAUACUUGCAGCCAAAAGUAUUCCUAACUGGCCUUGGGUGAUGGGCCUAAAACUCUUUUCAGGUUUUCAACUUGCUGUAUUAAACAGUCACCUUAGGGAGAUCCUCUCCAGAAACUGUUUUACUAGCUCUGAGUGGUAACUAAGAAUAAAUCUGUUAAGUGUUCUCAAGAACUUGUUAGCCUAUGGGAAUCACUGAGCUUUUAGAAAACAGGCAUGAUAGGAAGAAAAUACUCAUUGAAAGGAAAAGCAGAAUAAAAAGUUUAGUAUACUUUAAAUUAUAUAACUACUUAGACAAAAAAUAUUCUGAAUCAUUGGGCAAAAAUGCUAGAAAGAAAAUUAAGCAUUGAACAAUUGCUUCUAGGUGUUACAAUUUGAUAUUUUUGUUUGCUUUUCAUAGCUUUUAUUAACAAAGUCCUUAUUUCUUUGUGUUGUUGUAGGAUGAGAACCUGCAUGUACUUAAAGGGCCACCCUCUUGUUAUUCCUCCCUUCCCCAUUCCCAUGACCAUCUUACCACUAAUUCAGCUUCCUAGUGUUACAUAAUAAUUACAGAUUGUCACUGUUUUGGAUUAGAUUACUGCCUUGGGCUCCAACAGAUCAGUCUUGAAAAUCAAACUGGAAUCAUCCAAGCUAAAGUUCCAUAUCACAAGUUGAGACUAUUUUUAUCUGGCCUUCCAAAAAAAAAAACAAUGAGGAGCCAAAUUUCCCACCAAUUUCCCAAUUGGUGCAAUAAAGAAGUUUCCCCUGCCUUUUAUCUUUAGAUUUUUUAAUCCUUACAAGAAGUAACUUGAAGUAACCUAUGGUAACUAUUUAUUUAUUUAUGGCACUAGGGAUUGAAUAUAGGGCCCCCACACACACUAGGCAAGCACCCUAUCACUGAACUAUAUCUCUAGCCCAACCAGUUAUUUUUCUAUUUUCAGUUCUGGCUUUAUAAGGAAGGUAACUUUGAAUGAUCAAUAUGGUUUUUGCUCUUUUACUUUGAUUUUUUCAAACCUCUUCUGCUUAGCCCAUAGGGACACUAAUUCCUUUUUUUAUGGAAUGAAUUGUUCCUGGGUUCUAGAAUUGAAAAUAAAGCCAGUUAAGAUUUUAUUUUGUUGUGAUUUUGUCAUUUUAGAUCAAUGACCAUGGAAAGAGAUGUCUGAAAAUUUUAGUCAUGGACAAAUAAAGUUCCUAUUAUAUAGAAAAGCUAUGGAACAAAUCUAGGUGCCCUUCAAUAGAUAAAUGGAUUAAGAAAGUGUGGUACAAAUACACAAUGGAAUAUUACUCAGCCAUAAAGAAGAAUGAAAUUAUGGCAUUUGCCAGUGAAUGUAUGGAACUGGAGACUAUCAUGUUAAGUGAAAUAAGCCAAUUCCCCAAAAACCAAAAGGCUGAAUGCUGUCUUUAAUAGGUGGAUACUAACACAAAAUAAAUGUGGGGGGAGGGAAUAAUACAAGUUCAUUGGAUUAGACAAAAGUGAAUGAAGGAAAGAGGAGAUGGGAAUAGGAAAGAUGGUAGAAUAAAUUUGACAUAACUUUCCUAUGUUCAUAUAUGAAUACACAACUAGCAUAACUCCACAUCAUAUACAACCACAAGACUGGGAAGUUAUAUUGCAUGCAUGUAUAAUAUGUCAAAAAUACUCACGUAUAUCUAAAAAAGAACAAAUAAAAAAUAAAGUUUCCCUUGUAAAUUAGUAAUUAGCAUUGUGUUGAUGUAUCUACUGUGAAUAUGGAUAAUGUGAGUUCAAUAAGAAAGACUAACAGGAGUUCACUUCAUGCUCUGAACAUAACACUUGCUGUUCUGCUAUUGUGGCUUUUUAAAAAACGGACUUUUUUUUUCUUCUCCCUCUCCACCUCCCUAACGUUGGGGGGUUGGGGGAAGAUUGCCCUUGUUCCCAUCUUAGGCUGAGUUAUCUGUCCUGGAGCAAACACACACCAUAGGAAUGAAAUAAUUCUGACUUCAGGAAUGGUGCAGAAGACCUAAGAAACAGUUGUCUUCCAAGUCUUCACCACCCUUGACAAGGCACACCUGGAAUGUAGCCUUUGAAUCACCUCUUUAAAAGCCCUCUGUUCCCCCUGGUGAGCAGAAUCAUAGCCUCUGGGAUAGAAGCCCCUGUAUUUCUUCUUUGCUAGCAAACCAAUAAAACUUCUUUUGCCUUUUUUCUUAAAACAGUGUCCUCAUUAUUGGAUUGAUAUCUGGGGCAAGGACUGGGCUUUCCAGAACAACAUAAGAUUGAGUCUCUGCCCUCUGGACCCUGGCUUAUGGCAGAGUCCCUUGGCAGGGAUGACAAGGACCCAGAAAUAGUGAA